rnacentral:rRNA from 1 species
GACGAACGCUGGCGGCGUGCUUAACACAUGCAAGUCGAACGGAAAGGCCCCCUUGUGGGGUACUCGAGUGGCGAACGGGUGAGUAACAUGUGAGUAACCUACCCUUGACUUUGGGAUAACUUCAGGAAACUGGGGCUAAUACCGGAUAGGAGCUCCUGCUGCAUGGUGGGGGUUGGAAGGUUUCGGCGGUUGGGGAUGGACUCGCGGCUUAUCAGCUUGUUGGUGGGGUAGUGGCUCACCAAGGGUUUGACGGGUAGCCGGCCUGAGAGGGUGACCGGCCACAUUGGGACUGAGAGACGGCCCAGACUCCUACGGGAGGCAGCAGUGGGGAAUAUUGCACAAUGGGCGGAAGCCUGAUGCAGCAGCGCCGCGUGCGGGAUGACGGCCUUCGGGUUGUAAACCGCUUUCGCCUGUGACGAAGCGUGAGUGACGGUAAUGGGUAAAGAAGCACCGGCUAACUACGUG